CACCGGGUUGAUAACUGGAUGGAUUGAUCGGUGCUCAGUCCCUUUCUGUCUUUUAAGUAUCCGGAAGAAUAAAGUUUAGGAAAUGCUUCUUACACGGUUUCGACAUGCUUAUUUUUUUUUAGGUAUGGUUGUCCCAACCGUUUACUUUUCCUCGACAUCU
rnacentral:snoRNA from 1 species